rnacentral:misc_RNA from 1 species
GAUGAAGAACGCAGCGAAAUGCGAUAAGUAAUGUGAAUUGCAGAAUUCAGUGAAUCAUCGAAUCUUUGAACGCACAUUGCGCCCGCCAGUAUUCUGGCGGGCAUGCCUGUUCGAGCGUCAUUUCAACCAUCAAGCCCCCGGGCUUGUGUUGGGGACCUGCGGCUGCCGCAGGCCCUGAAAAGCAGUGGCGGGCUCGCUGUCACACCGAGCGUAGUAGCACACUUUCUCGCUCCGGUAGCAGCGGCGGGCGCCUGCCGUAAAACCCCUAUCUCAAGGUUGACCUCGGAUCAGGUAGGAAUACCCGCUGAACUUAAGCAUAUCAAUAAGCGGAGGA